rnacentral:ncRNA from 1 species
ACCAGCUUUUGGCGCCCAAGUAGCGACGUCGCUUUUUGAUCCUUCGAUGUCGGCUCUUCCUAUCAUUGUGAAGCAAAAUUCACCAAGCGUUGGAUUGUUCACCCAUGCAAGGGAACGUGAGCUGGGUUUAGACCGUCGUGAGACAGGUU